GAUGAACGCUGGCGGCGUGCCUAACACAUGCAAGUCGAACGGACGGACGCUAAGCUUGUUUCUUUGAUGUUAGCGGCGGACGGGUGAGUCACGCGUGGAUCACCUCCUUAUAUUUCUGGGAUAAUUUCGGGAAACCGUCUCUAAUACCAUAUAAUAUUUUGCACCGCAUUGUUCAUAGGAGAAUGACGGUCUUGCUGUCUCUACUAGCUGCUUCCGCGCUGGAUUAGCUGGUUGGUAAGGUACCGGCCUACCAAGGCUACGAUGCAUAGACGAACUGAGAGGGUGAUAGGCCACACGGGAGAGGAGACACGGUCAAGACUCCUAAGGGAGGCAGCAGUAGGGAAUAUUAGGCAAUGGGCGAAAGCCUGACGGAGCAAGGCCGCGUGAGUGAUGAAGGUCUUCGGAUCGUAAAGACCGGUUAUUGGGGAAGAACAGAUGUGGAAUUAAAUGUGGAGAUAUUGACGGUACCGAAUAAAAAAGCAACGGCUAACUACGUG
rnacentral:rRNA from 1 species